AUCUAUGGCCAUACCACCCUAAAUGUACCUGAUCUCAUCUGAUCCCUGCAAACUAAGCAGGGUCAGGCCUGGGUAGUACUUGGAUGGGAGAUUGCCUGGGAAUACGAGGUGCUGUAGGCU
rnacentral:rRNA from 1 species